rnacentral:rRNA from 1 species
CUAGUAACGGCGAGUGAAGCGGCAACAGCUCAAAUUUGAAAUCUGGCCUUCGGGUCCGAGUUGUAAUUUGUAGAGGAUGCUUUUGGUGAGGUACCUUCCGAGUUCCCUGGAACGGGACGCCAUAGAGGGUGAGAGCCCCGUCUGGUUGGAUACCGAUCCUCUGUAAAGCUCCUUCGACGAGUCGAGUAGUUUGGGAAUGCUGCUCUAAAUGGGAGGUAUAUGUCUUCUAAAGCUAAAUAUUGGCCAGAGACCGAUAGCGCACAAGUAGAGUGAUCGAAAGAUGAAAAGCACUUUGAAAAGAGAGUUAAAAAGUACGUGAAAUUGUUGAAAGGGAAGCGCUCAUGACCAGACUUGGGCUUGGUUGAUCAUCCAGGGUUCUCCCUGGUGCACUCUUCCAGCUCAGGCCAGCAUCAGUUCGCUGUGGGGGAUAAAGGCUUCGGGAAUGUGGCUCCUCCGGGAGUGUUAUAGCCCGCUGCGUAAUACCCUGUGGUGGACUGAGGUUCGCGCAUCUGCAAGGAU